rnacentral:rRNA from 1 species
UACGAAGGGGGCGAGCGUUGUUCGGAUUUACUGGGCGUAAAGCGCACGUAGGCGGAUCGUUAAGUCGGGGGUGAAAUCCUGGAGCUCAACUCCAGAACUGCCUUCGAUACUGGCGAUCUAGAGUCCGGAAGAGGUGAGUGGAACUCCUAGUGUAGAGGUGGAAUUCGUAGAUAUUAGGAAGAACACCAGUGGCGAAGGCGGCUCACUGGUCCGGUACUGACGCUGAGGUGCGAAAGCGUGGGGAGCAAACAGG